UACGAGGGGGGCAAGCGUUGUUCGGAAUUAUUGGGCGUAAAGGGUGCGUAGGCGGUUUUGUAAGUCUUGUGUGAAAUCUUCAGGCUCAACUUGAAGACUGCACGAGAAACUGCAGGGCUUGAGUGUGGGAGAGGUGAGUGGAAUUCCUGGUGUAGCGGUGAAAUGCGUUGAUAUCGAUAGGAACUCCGGUGGCGAAGGCGGCAUACUGGACCACAUCUGACGCUGAGGCGCGAAAGCCAGGGGAGCAAACGGG
rnacentral:rRNA from 1 species